rnacentral:rRNA from 1 species
CGAACGGGUGAGUAACGCGUGAGGAACCUGCCUCAAAGAGGGGGACAACAGUUGGAAACGACUGCUAAUACCGCAUAAGCCCACGGGUCGGCAUCGACCUGAGGGAAAAGGAGCAAUCCGCUUUGAGAUGGCCUCGCGUCCGAUUAGCUAGUUGGUGAGGUAAUGGCCCACCAAGGCGACGAUCGGUAGCCGGACUGAGAGGUUGAGCGGCCACAUUGGGACUGAGACACGGCCCAG